rnacentral:rRNA from 1 species
UGGGGAAUACUGCACAAUGGAGGGAACUCUGAUGCAGCGACGCCGCGUGAACGAAGAAGGCUUUCGAGUCGUAAAGUUCUUUUAUAUGGGAAGAUAAUGACGGUACCAUAAGAAAAAGCCCCGGCUAACUACGUGCCAGCAGCCGCGGUAAUACGUAGGGGGCUAGCGUUGUCCGGAAUCACUGGGCGUAAAGGGUUCGCAGGCGGAAAUGCAAGUCAGGUGUAAAAGGCAGUAGCUUAACUACUGUAAGCAUUUGAAACUGCAUAUCUUGAGAAGAGUAGAGGUAAGUGGAAUUUUUAGUGUAGCGGUGAAAUGCGUAGAUAUUAAAAAGAAUACCGGUGGCGAAGGCGACUUACUGGGCUCAUUCUGACGCUGAGGAACGAAAGCGUGGGUAGCAAACAGG